UUAGUAUUUGGAAUGCAAAACAAAAUCUAUAUGCGGAUCAAGGUCAGCUGGUCAAGAAAUAAGUAAAAAUUAGAAAUACAUCUCAAAGUUUGUGGGACUAUAAAAGAGCACUGGUGGAUACUAUAACUUCUGGGUAAUUUUCCUCAUCGCACUUGGAGAGUAUUAUCAUCAUAAAAGCUAUUCAACUUAAUCCGUUUCUUAAAAGCCAUACUAUAUCCGGGAUAUAACAGUCUGGAGAAUAAAAAUAACAAGGUUCGAACUCGCAACUAACCGCACUACCUGCCGACGCCUCUACCCAACAGCCACACCAAUUAUUGAGUCUUAAUGAGAAAAAAACAAAUUUAAAUAAAAGCACAGAAAACAAUACAAUCGCAAUUGCAAUGCUGUUGAUAGAAUUCAAAGCAGACGCGCAUGAAUGUGUGUGUGUUCAUGCAUACAGAAACUCUUGGAAUUUGCGCUAGCUGCUGCUAACACGUGCGCACAUAACUUUUGUGUUUCUUAACCGAUCUUAAUGAAAUUUUCGACAGUACAUCUUAUUAAAGAAUAGAAUAUAGAAUAUUUGUGUAUUCUCAAAAAGUCAAUUGCAUAUAAAUUGUGGCUUAAAUUGAUGGGCAAUACAAGUUGGAUAAUUAACUUGAUUUAUAGCUUUGUGGUGGUAGCGGGGAGGUAGCGAUAGAUAGAAAAUGAAAGAUACUUCUAUAUAUAUAUAUACUAUUCUAGAAGACUCUAGCUCAUAUUAGUUGCCGAAAUUGCUCAAAAAAACAGGAUUUCGAUAUCGAUUUAAAUCGAUUACUUUGAAACGGGACAAGUUAUCGAAUAUCGCAAACAAACUCGAUCUGCGCGGGCUCUAGGAGGACCUACAGCUUAAGCUUUCAAGUCUCUAGCUCUUAUAGGUUCUGAGACCAUUGCGUUCAUACAUACGGACAGACGGACGCACAGACGGACGUACAGACAGACGGACAUGGCUAGAUCGACUCGGCUAUUGAUGCUGAUCAAGAAUAUAUAUACUUUAUGGGGUCGGAUAUGCUUCUUUCUGCCUGUUACAUACAUUUGUACAAAUACAUUAUACCCUGAUCUUUAAACUUCAGAAGAAAAUGUUAAGGUAAAAGUGAAAUUUAAAAUUUAACUCUGGAUCAAUUUUAUAUAUAAUUAUUUAUUUAUAAAUUUCUUUAUGGACGUCUAACAUACAAAGCAUCUAAUAUAGUUCCUCGUAAUAAGUUUUUAUUCUUUUAAUUUCUGCCUUGUUAGGAAUUAUGAAAAAAUAGGUAAGAAGUUAUGAAAGAAGAAGGUAAGAACAGAGUUGUUGCAGAUGGACAUUAAAACGGAUAUAGUUGAAAAUCAAUACAUCCGUUUUCACUUUGUGGGGAGUAACAUGAGUUAUCAAAUCUAUAAUAAUAUUUCUCAAUUCUCGCAAGCCGUGAAGUUGUCUAAUACAGAUAUUUGCGAUGUGUGUUGGCUGUGUGGAAGGAAAUUGAGGCUCUAGCUCUUAUACUAUGAAAGAUCACAAGCAUCGAUUCCAAACAAAAAAGAUAUCUGUUUAGGUCCUUUGAAUAAAGGAUUGAAAGAGUUAUAUUAAUUAAAAAUCAAUUAUUGAUAUCAUA